GACGAACGCUGGCGGCGUGCUUAACACAUGCAAGUCGAACGGAAAGGCCCUGCUUUCGGGGUACUCUCGUGUCGCAAGGGGGAGUAAAACGUGUGUGUUCCGCCCUGCACUUCUGGAUAAACCUGGGGGACUGUGUCUAAUAUCCCGGAUGAGCCAUUCUGCGGGUGAGUGUUGGAUGGAUUUUUCGGUGUAGGAUGAGCUCGCGGCCUAUCUGGUUGCUGGUGGGGUAAUGGCCUACCUAGGCGGUGACGGGUAGCCGGCCUGGGAGGGUGGACGGCCACAUUGGGGAUGGGAUGCGGGCCAGAAUCCUACGGGGGGCAGGAGUGGGGGAUAUUGCAACAUGGGGGGGAGCCUGAUGCAGCGAAGCCGCGUGGGGGAUGACGGGCUUCGGGUUGUAAAACCCUUUCGCCAGGGAAGAAGCCUUGUGUGACGGUACUUAGUAAAGAAGCACCGGCUAACUACGUG
rnacentral:rRNA from 1 species